AAAAAACGUUGUCUCUUUUGGUUUGGUCAUGUUUGUAGAUGAUUUGAUAAAAGUUAAUUUUUGUCCAAUUUAAGGCACCAACAACGUGAAUAUAUUAUAAUUAUAGUUUUAUUUUAUAAAAAAUGGUAUUAUGGUUGUCGAAAGCGAAAAAUCUUUAUGGUAUCACGUAAGUCGAAUUUGACUACCAAAUUUGACAAAAAUAAUCGAUAUGUAAAGCAAUUGCCCUAUAAGGUUGUUGUUGUAGCAGUGUGUUGUACAUUGAGGCGGCAACCCUUGCCGAUGAAGGAUAUCAACGGGACAAUCCAGUAUGUACAACCCCGUAUGGUACUUCAGCACAUUUUCAUGUGGAGGUGUCCUCGUUGAGCCCCUGUAGAAAAUGCUCGUUCCGGUCCAAAGGACCGAACGCCGCGGCAACAUGGUGGCCAUUGGUUAUUUGAAGGCGCCGAUAACCCGCCUUGCAAUAUCAAGCAUCAUAGGAACUCAGUAUUUGUGUUAGAGCCAAUGCCGCCCGGCCUCUUAUUGAAACUCUCCGCUCGUUACCGCUGAUUGUCCGCGACUGUCGUUACACCUAAUUAUCGAUGUGUCUUUUUCCCUUGGCUACUUUUGUGGAGGAUUUUAUUACAGAAACCACAUUUAUGGGGGUUCAUUAAUUUGGAAGUUUUGAAUAAUUUGCAACGUACACGUGCUAACUCAGGUUAGGUAAGAGUGGCACUCCUUUACAGACUCACUUAGACAAUUUUAAGUCCAUUGUGAAACCACAGUAGCGACAGACCAAGGCUUCUGGCGGGAAUCGAACUCACGACCCCUGCACUGAUAAUCUAAGCACGCUACCAACUCGGCCACCGGGGCGCUCGUACCAUAAAUAGAUGUUUAUUGCGAUUUGUGUCAUUCCACACGUUCAGACAUACCUGAAUAACGGCAAGACAUUUUCCAAUCAAGUUAUUGAAUACAAUACAACAUGUCAUGUAAGAAGGGCUUUUUAACACUCAGCAGAACAAGGAAAUCAAGACCAAGAACCUAGCCCGGUUACAAGCACCAUCAAGAAGAUGCGAUGUGGGAAUUGUUGAUGGAUCGUUAAGUGAACGGAAUCGCAUGCCAAUGAAAACCAACUUCUUUGGACGCUUUAAAUUUCUUAGAUCCACUACCAAAGACUGGAGAGAGUGGGGCGAUUUAAUUGCUAUAGAGCUUAAUAUAUCUGAUCAAGCCAUAUGAACAAAACUAAGAAAACUUAUGAAAGAAAACGAGCGCUGCAGAGGAAACAAACUUUGAUCAAUUGAAGAAAAUUUUGACAAAACCAAUGUAAAAGGCUGCACAAAGAAAUAUGAGAACUAUUACAAACUAAAAGUUGAGAGCAAAGGCUGCAUUAGUGGUAAACCUAAUGGUGCCAAUACCAGCAAUGGGAGCAACUGUUUCCAUACUAACCAACUUUGCGAUACUUGAUGGUUCUGAAAGUAGCACAGACUCAUUCGACAACAGUCCUAGGGGGAUAACAAUGCAACACCAAUACGUUAUUUACAAGGAAGCUGUUCGUAUGAAGGAGUACUUGGUAAGCACGCUUUGUCUGGGGUAGUGGGGCAUGCAUUGCCGGCAAACACCUUGAGAGCGUUGAAUAUCAGGCCGUGGUCAUCAAAAGUGAAUCCGAAGAUGGGAAAGCUCAAACAAUCGCAGAAGGGCUCUAGAAUGUGUUAGAUGAGUUUAACCUGCGGAAAUGAGUUGUAAUGAUUGUUGCCGAUACAGCAAGCGUGAUUUAGAUUUAGAUUUAGAUUUAUUUGUUCGUUUUCACAUACAACAAGAUAACAAUGAUCUUAUAAUUACUGUAUGUGAGAUAUCAAUGACAUUUAACACAGUUCAACAGAGAUAAGUAGUAUA